UUUUUUUUUUUUUUGCUCUUUCACUGUGCAAUUUAGUUUACCCGAGGGUGUAUGUUUACCUUCUAUUGUUUGAAAUAAAAAGAAAAAAACUGGAGAAUGAACAGAAAAACGAAAGAUUCCAACUAAUAUGUUGUUUCUUUUCUGAUGAUUCUACUACAAGAAGUAAUUAAAUUUUGAAAUAUCUGUCAUUAUAAUGCAAACUUCAAGAUUUCGGCACCGUCCCAUGGUUGGCUUUGAUUUUUUACUGUUUUUCAUCUUAUGUCAUAAAAGUCUUGAUUUUAUUUUUUUUAUAACUUACCCUUUUUAAAGAGUCCAAGAAUCCAAAUAGGGUGCUCUUUAGUAUAACUUGGCUUGGGCUCAAGCUAAACUCACUUGCCCAACCCAACCCAAACUCAUCCCUACCCCGAUCAAAC
rnacentral:lncRNA from 1 species